AAAGAAGCAGGGGAGAUACCAUGAUCAUGAAGGUGGUUUUCCCAGGGUGAGCCUCAUCCAUUGCACUCCAGAUACACCGACCCCUACAAUUUCCUCAAAUGUGGGAAACUUGACUGCAUAAUUUGUAGGAGUACGGGGACUGUGUUCACACUCUCCCCUG
ensembl:snRNA U1 U1 spliceosomal RNA